AUGGCCUUGCCGGUGAUCCCCGACGAGCUCCUGGUGGAAAUCCUCCUCUGCCUCCCCACCGCUGCCGACCUCAUCCGCGCCUCCGCCGCCUGCUGUUCCUUCCGCCGCCUAAUCGCCAGCCGCUCCUUCACCCGGCGCUUCCGCAAGCUCCACUCCCCGCCCCUCCUCGGCUUCCUCGACACAGGGCGGCACCGCUUCCACCCUGCCGUCCCGCCUUACCCCUCCGCGCCCGCGGCCAGGGCCGUCGCCAGCGCCGCCGACUUCUCCUUCGACUUCCUCCCCUCCCCCUCCCAGCACUGGUCCGUGCAGGAUGUCCGUGAUGGCCGCGUACUCCUCGAAAGGCCCCGCCCCUACCGUCGCGGCGCCGGUGAGGGGCUCGAAUCUCCCUCCGAUGAGAUGGUCAUGUGCGACCCCUUGCACAGGCGGUAUCUCUUGCUUCCCUGGAUCCCCGAUGACCUAGCCGCU
rnacentral:rRNA from 1 species